GGGCUAGCCUCGAGGUAAAGAGUCAUGGAGGUAGAGCACUGUUUGGACUAGGGGCCCUUCUCGGGUUACCGAAUUCAGAUAAACUCCGAAUGCCAUGUACUUAUACUCGGGAGUCAGACUGCGAGUGAUAAGAUCCGUAGUCGAAAGGGAAACAGCCCAGACCACCAGUUAAGGUCCCCAAAUAUAUGUUAAGUGGAAAAGGAUGUGGGGUUGCUUAGACAACCAGGAUGUUGGCUUAGAAGCAGCCACCAUUGAAAGAGUGCGUAAUAGCUCACUGGUCGAGUGACCCCGCGCCGAAAAUGUACCGGGGCUAAACAUAUUACCGAAACUGUGGAUGAACCUCUUUAGAGGUUCGUGGUAGGAGAGCGUUCUAAGGGCGGUGAAGUCAGACCGGAAGGACUGGUGGAGCGCUUAGAAGUGAGAAUGCCGGUAUGAGUAGCGAAAGAAGGGUGAGAAUCCCUUCCACCGAAUAUCUAAGGUUUCCUGAGGAAGGCUCGUCCGCUCAGGGUUAGUCGGGACCUAAGCCGAGGCCGAUAGGCGUAGGCGAUGGACAACAGGUAGAGAUUCCUGUACCAGUGCUAAUUGUUUAACCGAUGGGGUGACACAGAAGGAUAGGGAAUCGCACGAAUGGAAAUGUGCGUCCAAGCAGUGAGUGUGAGAAGUAGGCAAAUCCGCUUCU
rnacentral:rRNA from 1 species